rnacentral:rRNA from 1 species
CACGGGGGGAGCAAGCGUUGUUCGGAAUUACUGGGCGUAAAGCGUGCGUAGGUGGUUUGUUAAGUCUGUUGUGAAAGCCCCGGGCUCAACCUGGGAAUGGCAAUGGAUACUGGCAAGCUAGAGUGCGGUAGAGGGUAGUGGAAUUCCCGGUGUAGCGGUGAAAUGCGUAGAGAUCGGGAGGAACACCAGUGGCGAAGGCGGCUACCUGGACCAGCACUGACACUGAGGCACGAAAGCGUGGGGAGCAAACAGG